GUAACACGUGGGUGAUCUGCCUUGCACUCUGGGAUAAGCCUGGGAAACUGGGUCUAAUACCGGAUAUGACCACUUACUGCAUGGUUUGUGGUGGAAAGAUUUAUCGGUGCGAGAUGGGCCCGCGGCCUAUCAGCUUGUUGGUGGGGUAACGGCCUACCAAGGCGACGACGGGUAGCCGACCUGAGAGGGUGAUCGGCCACACUGGGACUGAGACACGGCCCAGACUCCUACGGGAGGCAGCAGUGGGGAAUAUUGCACAAUGGGCGGAAGCCUGAUGCAGCGACGCCGCGUGAGGGAUGACGGCCUUCGGGUUGUAAACCUCUUUCGACAGGGACGAAGCGCAAGUGACGGUACCUGUAGAAGAAGCACCGGCCAACUACGUGCCAGCAGCCGCGGUAAUACGUAGGGUGCGAGCGUUGUCCGGAAUUACUGGGCGUAAAGAGCUUGUAGGCGGUUUGUCGCGUCGAUUGUGAAAUCUUGCAGCUCAACUGCAAGCCUGCAGUCGAUACG
rnacentral:rRNA from 1 species